GUGGCGCCCCCACUCGCGGAGGAGCGUCGUAGGCUGAAGCGCCGCCGGCACCCGACGACAACUGCUACGGCCGCUGCCGCUUCUGCUGCCGCUUCUGCUGCUGCUUCUGCUACUCUUCCAGCUCCCCCGUGAGAGCCGAGACUGAAGCAGCUGCCCCCCGAGACUUUCAAUAUGACCGAUACGUUGCUGGUGAAUCGGAAGGUGGAACAGAAGCAAGAGCAGACUGUGAAGAGGACAGAGGUAACAGCACAGAGUUGAAAGAUUGAUGGUCAUCGUCCGGUGGACAUAAUACGCAGAUUAAAGGUAUCUAGAAAAGGAAAAAGCAGCUAGAAAGAGCUCAAAUGCUGGUGAGCCGGAGGUGACAACCACCACCACCACAUAUAGCGUAGAUUACGGCCCCCAAACCACGAACGGCCACCUCCAGGACUCACCGGACACUUCCCGCCUCUCUGUGUCCACUGCUAGCCAAGACGGCACGCAGCUGGUGUCGAGGAAACAGACUCAUCACACCACACAGCAGAUAACGACUACGACAAAAGUCAUUCGGGAGCUCCAUCAUAUUGGUCCAGACGGUAAGGUGGUGGAGUACCCAGCUGGAGAAUACAACCCCUACAACCAAGCUCCCUCACAACCCGGCUAUGCCAUGGAUCCCUACCGCCCUCACUCCCCGGCCAGUGAAGCUGGUAAGGGACGGGAUUUCUUUGGUAUGUUGAGGAUUUCU